CUUCCGCCAGAAAUCGUAGCCCAGGAUGCAUCGCCGGUUCAAAUCUGGGGCGACAAGGAUGGACAACAAUCUGGUGACCCCAUUGAAGGUGACCGGGAUAUCUACGGCCCCUAUGACCUCCAGAUGUUGGCCUCCAGCUGUUGAGAGUUUGAUAUUGGAAUCGAGUUGACGUUUGCGGCUAACAUGGCGAUUCGACAGUCCUCGCGGGUGUUCCGGAACAGCAAAUCGAACCGACGUUUUUCGUCCCACGGAAUGGAAAGACUACGGAAGAUCCGCACCAUGUCCAGGUAGUAGUCUUGGAAUUUCUCCCUGGCUCCCUGUCGACGGUUACAAGCCUGCCGUUCGUAAACGUAGUCCAUGUCGACAGGUCGAUACGCAACAACCGCUCGCACUGGCUACGCGUCAUGCUCGCAUCGAACGGGAUUUUCCGGAUGUUAAGCUCAACGCUGGGUUCAACGCAUGGUACUGCGAGAGAAGGUGUGACAUCUCCAUAGUUUUAAUAUCACAGGUGAAUAAAAUUUACUUUGAAUUUACUAAUUUUCCUAAUUACGCUCCACAAUUUUUAAAUCUAAGCUAAAAAGUACAAAAAUAAGCUUUAACAAAAAUUUACCCAAUCACAAACGAUACAGUACAAUGCGACUAGAAUAAAACGUUUGGGUAGUGGGUUACAAAACUAUAAUAAAUUAAAAUUUUCAAAUUUGACUAUUAAGUUUAAGAAACGUAAGCACAGACAAAACAGUUUAAAAAAACGACAAUCAAAAUCGAAUAGCAAAAGUUGACUAGCAAUAAGAUGAGGGGAAUAAAAUUGAUUGGGAUUGGGUUCUUGUUUGAAUUCUCUUUUCCACCCCCCACCGAGAAAGAAAAUUUUCCGGAUUUCCGAGAAAAUUUUAUCUUCGACCUAAAAUGUUUUUCAAAACGUUUUCAACUAGUUGGUUACUAUUCGAAAUUUCUUUGGAUGUCCAAGACCCCUCGAAUCGGAAACAAAUCGAAUUCGAACUGGUUGUUUCCCACUAGGUGUAGUGUGUUAAGGCAAAUU